ACAGGAGUUCAUAGCUAAGACUUUGCCUUAAGUCAUGGGAGUGACUUUGGACUUGAACUUUUCAGCGAUGCUAGAACUGUUACAGCUUUGGUGACUCUUAGGGAUGGAUUAAAUAUAUUUUACAUAAUGACAUGAGCCCUUUUUGUGCCAUGGGCAAAAAAGAAUAUUGUGGUUUAGAUCUAGAAUGUCUGCAUGAAGUUUGAUGUGUUCAGAGGUGGUCCUAUUGGAAGGCGAGUGGGUCAUGGAAGCACUGUAUAAAUCCAUUGAUGGAUUUCUGUGCUAUUAGGAAGUGGGGCCUGGUUAGACAGGUGGAUCACUGGAGGCAUGAGCUGGAAGGAUACAUUCUUAUAUCUUUAUUUAUUUGGGUGUUUUUUUUUGUUUUGUUUUGUUUUGUUUUUUUGUACUGCAGGCUGUCCUUAAACUUACUAAACUUACUAACUUACUGGCCUUGACCUCUCAAUUCUCCUUCUGCCUUGGCCCUUCUGAAUGCUGAGAUUACAGGUGUGUGCCAUCACAUCUGGCUUUGGACAGAAGGAAACAUGCUCGUGUCUGGGUCCUCCUUCUCUCUGCUUCCUGGCUGCCCUGGGUUGAGUAACUUUCUGCUGCCAGGCCUUUCCACCAUGCCACUUCUGCCUUGAAGCCAACCAGUCAUGGACUGACCCUCAUGAAAUCACGAGCCAAAACAAACCUCACCUUCUUUCAGUUGUCUUGUGACACUGCCAUCUGCCUCCAGUGGGGGCACAGUGAGACAUCUUCCCUGUGGGAGACUUGUUGCUUUCCUGCUUCCUGUCAGGGUGCCAGCCUCCAUCAGGUAUGGCCAAUCUCACAGCCUGGUCCUAGCUGUGUGGUGAGAAGCUGGGAGAGGAGUCAUCCGUGCCUCCACCAGAGGCGAGGCUGCUGGGGGAGGAAUGAUCAGAGGCAGCCUGGAGCAGAGGGAUGUCAGGAACGAAACGGCUGGCUGAGGGGACAAGUGUCCGUGGGAAGAGAUUUGUGGAGAUUCUGGUAUUCACCCUGAAUGUGAACAGAGAUUUUGGAAGAGAAAGCUGGACAACACCUGGAUCUUCUGAGGUGACCCAGUGUACCGGCUGUGAACACAUCUCUCAGCCCCAGUGUCACCCUGUACCUUUUUUGUAAAAGUGGAGCUGGGCCCUUGAGAUUGUUGCCCUUGUCCGCAGGUCUGGUACUUUGUUAAUUAGCAGGCAGAGGUCUAGAGAUACCCAGGGGGACCAGGCUUCUACAGGUGGGCAGAUUGCCCAGGAGCACUCACCCUGCAAUACCACCCUUGAGGGCUUUGGUAGUGAAGUGCUUCCAGGUGGCAUCUUCUUGCGAACAGCUUCCUCAAUGCCCUAAAACAGUAGAUGUCCAGCAAGUUCUAAAGUGGGAAUUUCCAGCAGGUUCCAAUGGUAUGAACCCUAAAGAUACCUCCAUUAUUUAGAUAGCUGUGCCCACCCUCAGGGGAUCUGGAUCUCGGCCCCAUGGGGAGAGGGAAGGGAAAGGUCACUCUGGUGUACUUUGUUUCAGCCCUAGGAAUGUGGCUGCUUAAAUCUUGUGUCUACUAUGCCUAUUUUCUUUCAUUUUCUCUUCCCUCCUACUAGUCUAUCCCUCCUUACUCCAAAUCCUAUUA